rnacentral:rRNA from 1 species
GGGGAAUAUUGGACAAUGGAGGGAACUCUGAUCCAGCAAUUCUGUGUGCACGAAGAAGGUUUUCGGAUUGUAAAGUGCUUUCAGUUGGGAAGAAGAAAGUGACGGUACCAACAGAAGAAGCGACGGCUAAAUACGUGCCAGCAGCCGCGGUAAUACGUAUGUCGCGAGCGUUAUCCGGAAUUAUUGGGCAUAAAGGGCAUCUAGGCGGUUAUGCAAGUCAGGGGUGAAAACUUACGGCUCAACCGUGAGCUUGCCUUUGAAACUGUGUGACUAGAGUACUGGAGAGGUGGGCGGAACUACACGAGUAGAGGUGAAAUUCGUAGAUAUGUGUAGGAAUGCCGAUGAUGAAGAUAGCUCACUGGACAGAAACUGACGCUGAAGUGCGAAAGCUAGGGGAGCAAACAGGAUUAGAUACCCUGGUAGUCCUAGCUGUAAACGAUGAUCACUGGGUGUGGGCAUGAAGAGUGUCUGUGCCGAAGCGAAUGCGAUAAGUGAUCCGCCUGGGGAGUACGACCGCAAGGUUG